rnacentral:lncRNA from 1 species
AAAGUCGGCUAAGGCUAGCGAGACGAGUCUCACAUCACUAGGUCGUUGUGAGCAUACUUGAGCCUAACAAGGACAUUAAGGCUUAAAGAGAGGAGAAUGUGACACUUUAGGAUUUGGAAUAGUCCUAUAUAUAAAGUAGGGAUAAUUGCCAUAUACCCCUCAUACGUUUGAAAAUAUCCGAUUUACCCCUACUUUUUUUUCUUUCUAAAAUACCCCUUAUAUGUUCCACCGUUAUUGCAAAAUACCCCCGCAAUUAUCUCUUGUUAAGUUAACCUGGGUUAAACAUGAGUUAAAUAUCUACCACAGUUAAAAAAAAUUAAAAUAUCAAUUCUGUCCUUAACUGAAGGGCAAAUAAGUAAAGUUGGUGACGGUAGAGGGGUCUAUUGGAAAAGACCAAAAGUCAAAAUACUUUCUGUGCCCCUGACUUUAAGGGCAAAUAAGAAAGACAGUGAUGGUGGAAGAGUAUAUUUGAAAGAGCAAAAUAGUAAUUUUACAGAGAUAACAGAGUUACUUAACAGAUUUUAACUCUAAGGGUAUAUUAGAAAUAGGUUGGAACGUAGAAGGGGUAUUUUCAAUAUUAGCCUUCUAAGAGGGGUAAAUCGGAAAGUCGAGAACUUUUCAGGGGUAUAUAAGCAAUUGCCCCUAUAAAGUAUAAUAGGACUAAAUCUCUUAAUCUGACUAUAACAUUUUGGACGGUGACUAGGCCUAAAAGGUUAAAGAGGAUUAAGCGUACUAGGGUUGGAGUAGAUGUAGGAUGGGUGACUCCUUAGGAGUAGACCUGGCAAUCUCGACCCACACCCGCGGGUGCCCGCGGGUUACCCCCAAAUUUGCAGGUAUGAGUACCAACUUUUCCAAUCCAAAAAAUUACGGGUAAAACGAGUAGGUACCAAUUAAGUUGUGGGCAUUUUGGAUAACCCGCGGGUACCCACGGAUACCCACACAUAUAUUUUUUAAUUACAAAAUAUAUGUUCUUAAUUAAAAUAUAUUUAUUUUUAUUUACUUAUCCUAAAUAUUCUAAUCCUAAUUUCUUAUCGCGUUACCUUUUUAUGAAAUUUUUUUGCUUUAAGACUUUAAAUAUUUUUAUUGUAUAUUAUGUUAUUUUAAAUAAUGAGUUAUGUUAUGCUUUUAAAACUUAUAUAUAUGUGUUUUGUAUUUAAAAAUAUAAGAGCAAAAAGGAAAAAAAAAAAUU